rnacentral:rRNA from 1 species
UUGGAGGGCAAGUCUGGUGCCAGCAGCCGCGGUAAUUCCAGCUCCAAUAGCGUAUAUUAAAGUUGUUGCAGUUAAAAAGCUCGUAGUUGAAUUUCGGGAUCAAUUUGCUGGUCGUGCCUUUGGUACGCACUGGUAUUAUUGGUUUCUCCUUUCUGAAGAAUCACGAUGUCAUUAAUUUGGUGUCGUGAGGAAUCAGGACUGUUACUUUGAAAAAAUUAGAGUGUUUAAAGCAGGCUUACGCUUGAAUACAUUAGCAUGGAAUAAUGAAAUAGGACGUUUGAUUCUAUUUUGUUGGUUUCUAGGAUUGACGUAAUGAUUAAUAGGGAUAGUUGGGGGCAUUAGUAUUCAAUUGUCAGAGGUGAAAUUCUUGGAUUUAUUGAAGACUAACUACUGCGAAAGCAUUUGCCAAGGAUGUUUUCAUUAAUCAAGAACGAAAGUUAGGGGAUCGAAGACGAUCAGAUACCGUCGUAGUCUUAACCAUAAACUAUGCCGACUAGGGAUCGGAUGAUGUUAAUUUUUUAAUGACUCAUUCGGCGCCUUACGGGAAAC